rnacentral:rRNA from 1 species
UACGUAGGGUGCAGGCGUUAAUCGGAAUUACUGGGCGUAAAGCGUGCGCAGGCGGUUUGCUAAGACAGGUGUGAAAUCCCCCGGGCUUAACCUGGGAACUGCGCUUGUAACUGGCAAGCUAGAGUGUGGCAGAGGGGGGGUGGAAUUCCACGUGUAGCAGUGAAAUGCGUAGAGAUGUGGAGGAACACCGAUGGCGAAGGCAGCCCCCUGGGCUAACACUGACGCUCAGGCACGAAAGCGUGGGGAGCAAACAGG